rnacentral:piRNA from 1 species
UCNCACAGGUGUUUAGCUUGUCUCCUCUGC